rnacentral:rRNA from 1 species
CGUACACUCCUACGGGAGGCAGCAGUGGGGAAUAUUAGACAAUGGGCGCAAGCCUGAUCCAGCCAUGCCGCGUGAGUGAUGAAGGCCCUAGGGUUGUAAAGCUCUUUUGUGCGGGAAGAUAAUGACGGUACCGCAAGAAUAAGCCCCGGCUAACUUCGUGCCAGCAGCCGCGGUAAUACGAAGGGGGCUAGCGUUGCUCGGAAUCACUGGGCGUAAAGGGUGCGUAGGCGGGUCUUUAAGUCAGGGGUGAAAUCCUGGAGCUCAACUCCAGAACUGCCUUUGAUACUGAAGAUCUUGAGUUCGGGAGAGGUGAGUGGAACUGCGAGUGUAGAGGUGAAAUUCGUAGAUAUUCGCAAGAACACCAGUGGCGAAGGCGGCUCACUGGCCCGAUACUGACGCUGAGGCACGAAAGCGUGGGGAGCAAACAGGAUUAGAUACCCGUGUAGUCCCA